UCUGGUUCUGUCUGGAUAUAUGGGGGAUUGUUCUUCCUGUCUGGGAAGUGAUUCCUCAACCCUGCCCUAAGAGCCUGCCGGAGAGAGUUGGCAGACUCCCGUGCCCUGCUGUGAAUCCCACAGGCUUGUGAAGGACAACAGAUGGCCAGGCUAAGCUCGGAGCCACCCCGCUAUGGAAUGAUGAAAAUGGCCAGCCUCCUGGUAAAUGGACAUCAGGACCCAGGCAACUUUGCAUUCUGUAUGAUUUUCAUCUGGAAGAUGGGAAGUUUGCAGAAGAUGUAAUGAAUGAGGCAGUCUGGCUGGAAAAUAGUGACUGAAGAAUUAAGCAACACUCCAAAUUCUAAACUAAAGGGCCAGGGAGUCUUGAACCAUUGCUGAUGAAUAGAAGCUGUGUUUAAGCAAGAUAAAAUUUACAAUGAGUCCCAGAGAGAACCGACUGGUGACUACAGGGAACAAGAACUCAUUGCAUACUUGAAGUUUACUAAAAGAGAGUAAUGGAGCAUGUAUGACCAAAAUAUAUUCAUGUAUGCAGAUAUCAUAAUAUGUUAAUAAAUAAAAUUGAAUCAUAU
rnacentral:lncRNA from 1 species